UACGUAGGGUGCGAGCGUUAAUCGGAAUUACUGGGCGUAAAGUGUGCGCAGGCGGCCGCGCAAGUCGAGUGUGAAAGCCCAGGGCUUAACUUGGGAAUUGCGCUCGAAACUACGUGGCUGGAGUGUGGCAGAGGAAGGUGGAAUUCCACGUGUAGCGGUGAAAUGCGUAGAGAUGUGGAGGAACACCAAUGGCGAAGGCAGCCUUCUGGGCCAACACUGACGCUCAUGCACGAAAGCGUGGGGAGCAAACAGG
rnacentral:rRNA from 1 species